GGGGGGUUAGCACAAUGGUAGUGCGUCAGACUCCAGAUCUGAAGGUUGGGCGUUCGAGUCGCUCACUCCUCA
rnacentral:tRNA from 2 species